rnacentral:rRNA from 1 species
UACGUAGGGUGCGAGCGUUAAUCGGAAUUACUGGGCGUAAAGCGUGCGCAGGCGGUUCGCUAAGACCGAUGUGAAAUCCCCGGGCUUAACCUGGGAACUGCAUUGGUGACUGGCGGGCUAGAGUAUGGCAGAGGGGGGUAGAAUUCCACGUGUAGCAGUGAAAUGCGUAGAGAUGUGGAGGAAUACCGAUGGCGAAGGCAGGUCUCUGGGCUGACACUGACGCUCAUGCACGAAAGCGUGGGGAGCAAACAGG